UACGAAGGGGGCUAGCGUUGUUCGGAAUCACUGGGCGUAAAGGGCGCGUAGGCGGCCGAUCAAGUCGGGGGUGAAAGCCUGUGGCUUAACCACAGAAUGGCCUUCGAUACUGUUUGGCUUGAGACCGGAAGAGGUUAGUGGAACUGCGAGUGUAGGAGGUGAAAUUCGUAGAUAUUCGCAAGAACACCAGUGGCGAAGGCGGCUGACUGGUCCGGUUCUGACGCUGAGGCGCGAAAGCGUGGGGAGCAAACAGG
rnacentral:rRNA from 1 species